rnacentral:rRNA from 1 species
CCCCUAGAUGUUCUGGGCCGCACGCGCGCUACACUGAACAGUUCAACAAGUCUUAACCUUGGCCGAUAGGUCUGGGUAAUCUUUGAACGCGUAUCGUGAUAGGGAUAGACCUUUGCAAUUAUUGGUCUUGAACGAGGAAUUCCUAGUAAACGCGAGUCAUCAGCUCGCAUUGAUUACGUCCCUGCCCUUUGUACACACCGCCCGUCGCACCUACCGAUUGAACGAUUCGGUGAAAACUCCGGACUGUGGUUGUGCGCCCUUUAUUGGGAGCGCUUCCGUGGAAAGUUGUGUAAACCUCAUCGUUUAGAGGAAGGUGAAGUCGUAACA